rnacentral:misc_RNA from 1 species
AUGAGGAAGCCAGUAGAGAC